rnacentral:rRNA from 1 species
GACGUAGGGCGCGAGCGUUGUCCGGAAUUAUUGGGCGUAAAGAGCUCGUAGGCGGUUUGUCGCGUCUGCUGUGAAAACCUAAGGCUCAACCUUGGGCUUGCAGUGGGUACGGGCAGACUAGAGUGCGGUAGGGGUGACUGGAAUUCCUGGUGUAGCGGUGGAAUGCGCAGAUAUCAGGAGGAACACCGAUGGCGAAGGCAGGUCACUGGGCCGCAACCUGACGCUGAGGAGCGAAAGCAUGGGGAGCGAACAGG